rnacentral:rRNA from 1 species
GAUGAACGCUGGCGGCGUGCCUAAUACAUGCAAGUCGAGCGAAUGGAUUAAGAGCUUGCUCUUAUGAAGUUAGCGGCGGACGGGUGAGUAACACGUGGGUAACCUGCCCAUAAGACUGGGAUAACUCCGGGAAACCGGGGCUAAUACCGGAUAAUAUUUUGAACUGCAUGGAUCAAAAUUGAAAGGCGGCUUCGGCUGUCACUUAUGGAUGGACCCGGUUCGCAUUAGCUAGUUGGUGAGUUAACGGCUCACCAAGGCAACGAUGCGUAGCCGACCUGGGAGGGUGAUCGGCCACACUGGGACUGAGACACGGCCCAGACUCCUACGGGAGGCAGCAGUAGGGAAUCUUCCGCAAUGGACGAAAGUCUGACGGAGCAACGCCGCGUGAGUGAUGAAGGCUUUCGGGUCGUAAAACUCUGUUGUUAGGGAAGAACAAGUGCUAGUUGAAUAAGCUGGCACCUUGACGGUACCUAACCAGAAAGCCACGGCUAACUACGUGCCAGCCGCCGCGGUAA